ACAUCAAAGAGCAGUAUCGCAGAGAAGGGAACGCGGCGGGUGGGAAGGAUAUAAAACUGCGACCAUAGUCAGCGGUAGUUGCGCACAGCACGUGUGCAAUGGCGGCCGCCAUGUCAAGGCGAGGCUAGCCACUGUAGCGAGGCGUCACGCGAGGCGUGCGUGCGUGUUAGUGAAUUAACGAUGUGUUUUUAAGGAACCCGUGGUGUUAGCGCCUGCGCAGUCUCAUUCGUGGAGUAGUAUAUUUGGAUAGUUUUAUCUAUGGCUGCUGUUGUGACUUCCAAACAACCCAAGGCAACUGUUUUACCCCUGUCCUUCGCGGCUUUGUGGAUCUAUCAGCGUGCAUCGAUGUGCAGUGUUCUCCCCGGCGCCGAUUUACCAUUUCGAGGUUUUUUUAACCACUUCCUCAAAAGGACGCCCUUUGGUCGAAGUCAACGAAAAGCUCUCAAUCAAGAUUGCUGACCUGACGAAGAUCUCGAAGGAGGAAUCUGUAAAAAUACAUGCUGUGCUAAUAAAUGCUUUUAGCAAUUUUA